UACAGAGGUCUCAAGCGUUGUUCGGAUUCAUUGGGCGUAAAGGGUGCGCAGGCUGCGAGGCAAGUCGGACGUGAAAUCCCGGGGCUAACCCCGGAACUGCGUUCGAUACUGCCUUGCUUGAGGACUGGAGAGGAGACUGGAAUUCCUGGUGUAGCAGUGAAAUGCGUAGAUAUCAGGAGGAACGCCAAUGGCGAAGGCAAGUCUCUGGACAGUUCCUGACGCUCAUGCACGAAGGCCAGGGGAGCAAACGGGG
rnacentral:rRNA from 1 species